GACGAACGCUGGCGGCGUGCCUAAUACAUGCCAGUUGAGCGCUGAAGGUUGGUACUUGUACCGACUGGAUGAGCAGCGAACGGGUGAGUAACGCGUGGGGAAUCUGCCUUUGAGCGGGGGACAACAUUUGGAAACGAAUGCUAAUACCGCAUAAAAACUUUAAACACAAGUUUUAAGUUUGAAAGAUGCAAUUGCAUCACUCAAAGAUGAUCCCGCGUUGUAUUAGCUAGUUGGUGAGGUAAAGGCUCACCAAGGCGAUGAUACAUAGCCGACCUGAGAGGGUGAUCGGCCACAUUGGGACUGAGACACGGCCCAAACUCCUACGGGAGGCAGCGGUAGGGAAUCUUCGGCAAUGGACGAAAGUCUGACCGAGCAACGCCGCGGGAGUGAAGAAGGGUUUCGGAUCGUAAAACUCUGUUGGUAGAGAAGAACGUUGGUGAGAGUGGAAAGCUCAUCAAGUGACGGUAACUACCCAGAAAGGGACGGCUAACUACGUG
rnacentral:rRNA from 1 species